CAUAAACCAGAACAUCCAGACUGGCCUACGUACCUGUUCUACCUCUGUCUAUGGAGCAGGAAAAUGCUAAGAUUGAAGCCAUGCCUCAAGAACUGAGAACCUCCCCGGAAAUGCCAGGUUGGGAGUGAAAAAGGCCCUGGUAGAAGAGCGCUGGUAUUCGGCACUAGGAGAAGUAUGGAUAUUUUCCUCUUCAGUCCUUGGCCUAGUGCACACCUACUCCCAUAGACUGUGUGAGGAGAUAAAGCAAACUUGGGGCAAGUUUUGACUUUGCAACGCUUUCUUCUGAAAGUAACUGUCAGGUAGAUAUCCCGUGCUGGCAGCAUCUAGUUUCCACAGCUUAUAAGGUUUUCAAGAGUGACCAGGAGAUUGGAGUAUUGGACUAAGGAAUGAAUACUUCCAUUCCUGUCUGAGACUGCUUUGGGAGCCCUGUGGUGCUGUACCUGCUGUGACAUUACCAGGUAGAAGAGAAAUGCGGUGCAAGGGAUAGUUCUUCAGCUGUUGAGAUUCUAGUUCCCACACCACUGGUCCUCCCUGGAUUUGCCACCAGAGGGCUGGAUGUUUACAUCCUUUAGGAUGGGGAGAAAAAGCAAAACUAACAGUUUUGAGACAUUAGAUGUUCUAAUCAAAAAUAUAUUGUAAUUUAGCUAAAUUGCUAUGAAAAUAUGAGGCCCUGAAAGAUCAAUUUGUUGUUUUGUCUAUCAGUUUGAUUUAGCAAUGAUUUACUAGGCAUUGCCGGCAUUGUUUCAAGUAUGACUCCCCUAACUCCACAGCCUUGUGCAAUUUUUCAGGCACCUUCAUGGUGACAUUCAUUUUAGAAUACUUUCUUCCACACCUCUAGAAGAUCAGGAAGUUGAAAAUGGCAGUACUGAUAGGAAACCUAAAAUCCAAUCAGAUAUCUGGCCCACGUUCAGACUUACUUGGUUGUGUUAUU